rnacentral:tRNA from 1 species
UGCGGGAUAGUCACUGUUGGCAGUGGCACCUGGCUCUGAACCAGGAGGUCGUUGGUUCGAUUCCAACUCCCGCAG